rnacentral:rRNA from 1 species
UGAGGAAUAUUGGGCAAUGCCCGCAAGGGUGACCCAGCAACGCCGCGUGGAGGAUGAAUGUCGUAAGAUUGUAAACUCCUGUUAGAGGGGAAGAAUAGUACCGGUUGGACCGGUAUAUGACUGUACCCUCAGAGAAAGCCCCGGCUAACUACGUGCCAGCAGCCGCGGUAAUACGUAGGGGGCAAGCGUUGUCCGGAUUUACUGGGUGUAAAGGGCGCGCAGGCGGGAUAAAAAGUCAGUGGUGAAAUCCUACAGCUUAACUGUAGAACUGCCUUUGAUACUUUUAGUCUUGGGUUCGGGAGAGAGAGACGGAAGUCCAGGUGUAGUAGUGAAAUACGUAGAUAUCUGCAAGAACACCAGUUGCGAAGGCGGUCUCUUGGUCCGACACUGACGCUGAGGCGCGAAAGCGUGGGGAGCAAACA